rnacentral:lncRNA from 1 species
UACAUAGUCAAAAUCAUGAUCAAUACAUGUGUUCAUAUGAAAUCAAUUGUAAAGCAUGUAAUUGAGUCAAAAUAAUCAUAAUAAGAUCUGUAAGCGUCUAAAGUUUCAAUCCUGAAAUACAGUAAACAGGAAAAGAAAAAUAGCAAGCAAACAAUAAUAUUUGUAUUUGAAUUAAUGCGAAGGUUACAAUCUUUAUAAAAUAUCUUAAAAAGAUAUGUAAUCCCCUGAUUCUUCUCUCCACAGAUGUUCUUGAUUUGGCGGAAUACUUGCGGCUCAAUACUUAGAGCGAAGACUUCUUUGUAUGCGGAUGACUUGCAGAUCACCACUGAAAAGAAAUUAUGUAUUUUUGUGUGGAUGUAUGGGUGUAUAUGUAUUUUGGUCUUAUGAAGACCUCUUUAUAUAGGCUUGAGCUAGGGCUUGAGGGGUAUUUUGGUCCAAGCAAUUUUGACCCCUGGGACUGAAGAACAUAAGUUGGACUCAUCUUGUCAACUUAAUGGACUGGCCCAAAUGUUAUUGGGACUUGAUUUAAGUCAUAUAAUUUUGACUUAAAUAUGAAUCCGAUUUUAUUAACCAGUAAUUUGAGUUGGUCAAUGUAUCAUGAAUUUUAGAUUUAAUCCAAAUUUAGUAUGAAUUUAUCAAUAAAACUUCACUGUCUACAAA